AAUUAUUAAAAAAAUAUUUUAAUUGACAUAAAAAUAGCAUGUGGUUUUCUACUAUAUAGUUGAUACAUGCAAAGUUGAAAAAAAUGGCUAAAAUUCUCAAAUUUGUUUAUAUUAUGAUCCUUUUUAUUUCCCUAUUUCUUGUUGUUUACUGUGAAAAAGAAUGUGCUAAUGACAUCGAUUGUUAUAAAAUAUUUUUGGGCCCUCCUCUUAUACCUAUGAAAUGCAUCGAUGGUGAAUGUAAAAGGAUUACAUAGUUAAGGUUAUCGGUCGGAAAUCCAAGCUUUGAUAGGGGAUAUUGGGUGGGAUGUGUCUAUUGUACUAUUAUUAUUGAAAUUUGAAUUGUUUUGUGGUCUGUAAAUUAUUGGCUCAUAAGCUAUAUUAUAAAAUAUGAACUUUAAAUACGAAAGUCGACUUUAAUUUUGUGGAUGAUUUGAUCAAAUUUCAUACUUUUA